CAGAGGGAGUCGCCUUUGUUUAGCAGGUCAAAGAACACAGCCUGCUGCCCACUGAGUCCUUUGUCACCUGUGGUCACCGCUCCACAUUCUCUGUCCCCACCUGGCAACCUUCCUCUUCUGCUUUAUUAAUGAAUACAAGCCACCUGCUUCUUCAUUCCAGCCCUGAUGUGACUGCCGGCUGUGCUGCCUGCCGCUGGCACCUGCAUGCUGCCUGAAAUUUGCCCGGUUCUUACAUCAGUUCUUCUGCUUCUCAGCCAGUCCUGUGUAUUUGGGGAUUGACACUGCAACCAAGGGUGAAGAACAAAGGCAGCGCAAAGGCUGCUUAACUCUGACUCAGAAGCAAAAACCUCCCACUCUCAUUCCUCUUGAUCUCUGUAAACCCACCCCCACACAGGACUAGGAAUUUCCUAAUUAGAAUUUCCAGAUUGAGAAUCUUCACCAGGUUUACAGAACAUAUGCUCCUCUCUGUUCUUGACUUUUUAUUUUUUAUUUUUUUGUUCUUGACUUUUUAAAUGAUGAAUUUUGUAAGACUUGAUACACGUAAAAUGCGUAGAAUGUGUAUGCAUAUGAAACAAACAGUCAUGAGCCCACCAUCCAACCUAAGAACUGCAGCAUAAUCUGCUAGAUGUAUCUUCUGCUCUAUUAUAAAGUAGUUUUUGAAACUGCUUUCCUUAAAUAACUAGCACAUACAGUAGAAUAACUACAACGAAAAACGAUACAAUUAGCUUCUCUGUGCCUAUCAUCCACUAUAGAAAAAGAGCAUUCUUACUACCUUUGCAGUCUCCUGUGUGAGUGACUGUGGGCUCAGCCAUGUCCGACUUUUUGUGACUCCCUGGAUAUAACCCACCAGGCUCCUCUGUCCACGGAAUUCUCCAGGCAAGAAUACUGGAGCUGGUUGCCAUUUCUGCCUCCAAGGAACUUUCCCACCCAGGGAUUGAACCUGAGCCUCUUGUAUCUCCUACACUGGCAGACUGAUUCUUUACCAUUGCACCACCCGGUCCUGUGUGUCCCUCCCCAAUUCUGUUCAGGACUAUUUGCUACCAUUGGGGGUAUAAUUUUCAGAACUUGUCCCCAGUAAAAGUGUUCAGGAUUUAGAACAUGUAAAGCAUUCUUAAUACUUUAGGGACUUACAAGGUGGUCCAGUGGCUAGGACAUCACUCUUCUGGUGCUCUGGGCCUGGGUUCAAUCCCAGGUCAGGGAACUAGAUCUCACAUACCGAAACUGAAAAAAUGAUCCCAUAUGCCACAGUGAGGAUAAAGGAUCCCAUUUGCUACAGCUGAGACUCAGCACAACCAAA